rnacentral:rRNA from 1 species
GACGAACGCUGGCGGCGUGCUUAACACAUGCAAGUCGAACGGAAAGGCCCUGCUUUUGUGGGGUGCUCGAGUGGCGAACGGGUGAGUAACACGUGAGUAACCUGCCCUUGACUUUGUGAUAACUUCAGGAAACUGGGGCUAAUACCGGAUAGGAGCUCCUGCUGCAUGGUGGGGGUUGGAAAGUUUCGGCGGUUGGGGAUGGACUCGCGGCUUAUCAGCUUGUUGGUGGGGUAGUGGCUUACCAAGGCUUUGACGGGUAGCCGGCCUGAGAGGGUGACCGGCCACAUUGGGACUGAGAUACGGCCCAGACUCGUACGGGAGGCAGCAGUGGGGAAUAUUGCACAAUGGGCGGAAGCCUGAUGCAGCAACGCCGCGUGCGGGAUGACGGCCUUCGGGUUGUAAACCGCUUUCGCAUGUGACGAAGCGUGAGUGACGGUAAUGGGUAAAGAAGCACCGGCUAACUACGUG